rnacentral:rRNA from 1 species
AACGUAGGAGGCGAGCGUUAUCCGGAGUUACUGGGCGUAAAGAGCGUGUAGGCGGGUACGCAAGUUUGGCGUGAAAGCUCCCGGCUAAACUGGGAGAGUGCGCUGAAGACUGCGUGUCUAGAGGCGAGUAGAGGGACGUGGAAUUCCGGGUGUAGUGGUGAAAUGCGUAGAGAUCCGGAGGAACACCAGUGGCGAAGGCGGUGCUCUGGGCCAGUACUGACGCUGAGGAGCGAAAGCGUGGGGAGCGAACAGG